AUACGGAGGAUGCGAGCGUUAUCCGGAUUUAUUGGGUUUAAAGGGAGCGUAGGUGGGAUAUUAAGUCAGCUGUGAAAGUUUGGGGCUCAACCUUAAAAUUGCAGUUGAUACUGGUUUCCUUGAGUACGGUACAGGUGGGCGGAAUUCGUGGUGUAGCGGUGAAAUGCUUAGAUAUCACGAAGAACUCCGAUCGCGAAGGCAGCUCACCGGGCCGGAACUGACACUGAUGCUCGAAAGUGCGGGUAUCAAACAGGAUUAGAUACCCUGGUAGUCCGCACAGUAAACGAUGAAUACUCGCUGUUUGCGAUACACUGUAAGCGUCCAAGCGAAAGCGUUAAGUAUUCCACCUGGGGAGUACGCCGGCAACGGUGAAACUCAAAGGAAUUGACGGG
rnacentral:rRNA from 1 species